GACGAACGCUGGCGGCGUGCUUAACACAUGCAAGUCACGGGGGCCCGCAAGGGCAACCGGCGAACGGGUGCGUAACACGUGAGCAACCUGCCUUUGUGUGGGGGAUAGCCGGGCUAACGCCCGGGUAAUACCGCAUACGGUCAUCCGGGGGAGUCCCUGGGUGAAGAAACCUCCGGGGCACAGAGAGGGGCUCGCGGCCUAUCAGCUAGUUGGCGGGUAAUGGCCCACCAAGGCGACGACGGGUAGCUGGUCUGAGAGGAUGGCCAGCCACAUUGGGACUGAGAGACGGCCCGGACUCCUACGGGAGGCAGCAGUGGGGAAUCUUGCGCAAUGGCCGAAAGGGCUGACGCAGCGACGCCGCGUGUGGGAGGACGCCUUUUCGGGGGUGUAAACCACUGUUGCCCGGGACGAACACGCCUUUUCGAGGG
rnacentral:rRNA from 1 species